AAAAAGCAAAAAUAACAUACUUUCCCCUGUUACUGAAACGUGCCUGUAAAUUUGGUCAUUUAUAUAAGUUGAAGACUGCAAAAAAGAUGAAAGAAUAUAAAAGACACACACCAAAAAAGCAGGGAAAAGGAAACAGUACUGGACAUUCUGCUUCCAGUAAAGGAAAUAAAUGGCCAGUGGCUAAUAUGUUAAAUUUUUAAACAAAAUGGAUCACAAGCGAGGAAGUACAUCCAGCAUUGAGGUAGAUGAAGUGCAAAGCCCACAAUAUGAUGGUGAACCGAGUAACAGAGAGGUGUGCCAGACAUCGCCAACUUCGUCAGAAAAAGAAAUUUUUUCCGAAGACAAGGAAGACAUCGCGUCGUUCGACCACCCAAGGAAAAGGUCACAACAAAAAAAAUCAUGGAGUUGACGAAUUCUUGGCGGGCCGACAGAGAAACCUUAAUGAAAAGACUGGCUGCAGGAAAGCGUGAUGAUUACAUCAAUUUAUUUUUUAAAAGUAUCGCCCUCAACGUAAAAAAAAUUGAAUCAUAAUUUGAUCAAUGAAGCCAAAUUGAGAUCCUUGCAAAUGCUUAUUGAUUUGGAGUAUCACAGUUCAUUUGAAUACUACUCUUCUGUGCGUCUUUUAUCUCUUCGUACUUUCUAAUACUCAACAACUCCAACGACAUCAAGUGUGGAUAACACUGCCAUCACACCAUCUGACAACACAGAGACCGAAACGCCAGCUUGCGAACCCAUUUAAUGUUGCAAUAAGUGUUAAUUUCAUAUUUUUGUAUUGUACUAUUUUCAUUUUUUACACUGUGUGCAUUAUUAAUAAAGC